rnacentral:rRNA from 1 species
UUACUCUUGUACCUUUUGCAUCAUGAUUUAGCUAGCACUAUCCAAGCAAAAAGAAUUUUAGUUUGAUACCCCGAAACCGAGCGAGCUACUCCAGGACAGCCUAUUAACAGGGCACACCCAUCUCUGUGGCAAAAGAGUGGGAAGAGCCUCGAGUAGAGGUGACAGACCUACCGAGCUCGGCCAUAGCUGGUUGCCUGAGAACUGGAUAGAAGUUCAGCCUCCCGAAUUCUCCCCAAUCCGAGAGAGUUAGUCAAAAGGGGGACAGCCCUUUUGACAUAAGAUACAACUUUACUAGGUGGGUAUUGAUCAUAAUUUAUCAAGGGGAAAUAAUCCAAGUGGGCCUAAAAGCAGCCACCUCUAUAGAAAGCGUCCAAGCUCAAACACUUAAUCCCGAUAACCCUUCACAGCCCCCUAAAAAUAUCAGGCCCUUUCGUGCCCCCACAAAAGAGACUAUGCUACUACGAGUAAUAAGAGAACCUUCUCUCCCAGCACACAUGUAAAUCGGAUCGGACCCCCCACCGAAACUUAACGGCCCCAAACAAAGAGGGCAAUAAAAUCUUAAAACUAGAAAACCACUUACCGUUAACCCCACACUGGAGUGCCCCCAGGGAAAGACUAUAAGAAAGAAAAGGAACUCGGCAAACAAGCCUCGCCUGUUUACCAAAAACAUCGCCUCUUGCAAGAAUAAGAGGUCCCGCCU